UCCUGAGUAACAAAUAUACCAAAAUGCUUCUGCUGCCCCUGCUCACAAUAUUAAAUAUUAUCACUAUAAAUGUUUCUUUUCUUUGUCAUCAACUUCAAGACUGUAAAAGAAACUAUGUAUUGUGACUUCUAUUACUUCAGUGUCAACAACUAUACUAGACUGAAUCAUAACAGUACCAUAAUAUGCUAUUAUUUCCUCUGGGGUAUAUUUUUCCAGCUUUCCAUGUUAGGAUUUAUGCUAGUGCACAGUUAUGUGUUGUUUUAAUGAAGAAUGGCCAGUCAAAUUGUUUCAAAGAUGCUUCCAGGUGUCUCAGCUUGUUUAAUCAAUUUAAUGCCUUCCAAAUAAAUUUGAUGACAACAACAAACACAUACCUAAAUCAGGGAGGUAUAAAAAUUGUUCCCCCUGCCUAAAUCUUAAUAUAUCUUAAAGGACAAAAACAAAAAUAUACAAAUAUGUAAAAUAAAUAAAUAAAAUAUAAAUACAAAAAUAUUAAUUUCACCAUAUCAUAAUUAAAACUGUGUAAGUAAUGCACAUCAUACAUUUUUGGGUAAGCCUAAAGUGUGGUCAGUGCAUCUCACUGAAGAACACAUAGUAAAGAAAACAAUAGGACACAAACCUGUCCAGUCUCACAUAAGGGAAGUUAUCUUUCAGGUAAUUUAUAUGUAAGCAGAAAAUAUGAAAUUUAAAUUCCGAACUUAAACUAUUCUAGAAAACAGUUAUGACAAAUGAGCACUGGAAAAAAUAAGAAUAAAGAUAAACCAGAAAGAGAGCAAAGAGGGCAGGCUUGACAACCACAGAAAGUGAUCAAGCAAUGAAAUGAGAAGUGUUUGUCAGAGGAGGAUAGCAGACAUGCAUUUUAUCCAAGGGAACCUGCAAAGAUGCAACAUGCCAGCCAGCCUGAAGUUGCAGUCACAAUGAUGCCUCAAAUUCCACAGUUAGGAGACAGAAACUGUAAGAAGUAUGAUUUCUAUAUUUGCAUUGAUAUAAAAUCGGUCAACAACAGCCAGAUGUCUUGCAUGGGAUAAGGGACGGAGAAAAAAACGAGUAACAACUGACCAAAUAAUGAAGUGGUACAUACAUGCAUCUUAAUGCUACUUUGCAAAAAUCUACCAUUACGCUACCGUAUAUGCCACGGCUGUAAUGUUUAACAGGCAACGUCUACCUGAUCUAAUUAAGCAAAUGCAAGAAGAUGAUCUGAUCAUUCGCAACCAUCAGAGGUAUAAUUAUUGGAAAUAAGAUUGCUGAAGGACAAACACAAGAGGGCGUCUCAGGGGAUAUUGAGAUGGCUCAUUGCGAAAUAUGCUUCCUGUUUAAAGGGAAACAUUGCUUUUGUUUUUUUAAAUUAUUUUUGUUAUAAAUCUACUGUAUCUUUAUUUGUUUGUUAAAUUAGGUUGGAAUUUCAAAAAUUUGUAUUGCUUUUGUGUUGUUCACAGCCACAUGAAAGAAUACUCUUAUGAUGGAAUGAUACAUUUCCUCAAAUGUAAUUAAUUAAAUAAUUAUUUAAUUAAUCACCAAAUUUAUUGUGUAUAAACGUAAUAGUUUUACCAGCAAAAAACUCAGUGUUCUUUCUGUAUUUGUACUUUAAUUAAAUUAUUGCCAAUUAAAUACAUUAAAAUUAUUAAAUAAAUAACAUUAUUUGAAAGUGCUUGCAUUUUUAUAUAGAAAAUUUCGAAUGUUAUGCAAUACCUUUUUUCUUGCAGGGUUUUAAGAUGAAAAGGGUAUCGAACGCCCAUAUCACACCCUAUAAAAACAUUUGACGUUUCUUUUUUCUCUAUGAAUGUGCUAUUUUUGCAGUUUGCUCUGCUUUUUGUCUCUUUUGUAAUUUGUCUGUUGUGAUGAGGACUCCCCUGAAAAUCAGCUUUGAUGAGUGGGACAUUUCCUCUUAAAAUAUUAAUAAAAGAAAGAAAGAAGAAGAACUGGAAAAGCAUGGACAAAUACUGAACUUUUUGUCUGGAGUAUUUGUAGGACCUACAUCAUAUGCAGAAAGCUGUGAAAAAUUGUUUUGAAUUCAAGAAGAAAUUCCCCCGAAUAAUGGCCUGAUAUCAUUUUAUGACGUUAUGUUAUGUUACGUUUGCUUAUUCCGAUGUCAAGUAUUUGAAUAGACCUCAUCUUUGAAUGGUAUAAAAAGACAAACCAUUCAGAGUUUGUACUAUUAUAUAAUGCAAUUCAUAUGUCAUAAGGAACUUUCCUCUUUUAAAAUUAUCUUAGAUGUAAUUAACAAAGGAGUCAUGAUUGAAUUAUGUAAAUAAUCCAUAUUUUUGAGGGAAUAAAAUUUGUGAUUAAAAAGCA